rnacentral:rRNA from 1 species
UACGUAGGGGGCGAGCGUUGUCCGGAUUCAUUGGGCGUAAAGCGCGCGUAGGCGGCCCCGCAAGUCGGCCGUGAAAUCUCCGGGCUCAACUCGGAGGGGUCGGGCGAGACUGCGGAGCUCGAGGUGGGCAGAGGACAGUGGAAUUCCGGGUGUAGUGGUGGAAUGCGUAGAGAUCCGGAGGAACACCAGUGGCGAAGGCGGCUGCCUGGGCCUGGCCUGACGCUGAGGCGCGAAAGCGUGGGGAGCGAUCCGG